UACAGAGGGUGCAAGCGUUAAUCGGAAUUACUGGGCGUAAAGCGUGCGUAGGUGGUUUGUUAAGUCAGGUGUGAAAUCCUGGGGCUCAACCUCAGAAUUGCGCUUGAUACUGGCGAGCUUGAGUGUGGUAGAGGAUAGUGGAAUUCCCGGUGUAGCGGUGAAAUGCGUAGAUAUCGGGAGGAACAUCAGUGGCGAAGGCGGCUAUCUGGACCAACACUGACACUGAGGUACGAAAGCGUGGGUAGCAAACAGG
rnacentral:rRNA from 1 species